CCUACGGGUGGCAGCAGUGAGGAAUAUUGGUCAAUGGACGCGAGUCUGAACCAGCCAAGUAGCGUGAAGGAUGACUGCCCUAUGGGUUGUAAACUUCUUUUAUAUGGGAAUAAAACGUUCCACGUGUGGGAUUUUGUAUGUACCAUAUGAAUAAGGAUCGGCUAACUCCGUGCCAGCAGCCGCGGUAAUACGGAGGAUCCGAGCGUUAUCCGGAUUUAUUGGGUUUAAAGGGAGCGUAGGUGGAUUGUUAAGUCAGUUGUGAAAGUUUGCGGCUCAACCGUAAAAUUGCAGUUGAAACUGGCAGUCUUGAGUACAGUAGAGGUGUGCGGAAUGCGUGGUGUAGCGGUGAAAUGCUUAGAUAUCACGAAGAACUCCGAUUGCGAAGGCAGUUCACUGGACUGCAACUGACACUGAGGCUCGAAAGUGUGGGUAUCAAACAGGAUUAGAUACCCCAGUAGUC
rnacentral:rRNA from 1 species